rnacentral:rRNA from 1 species
UACGUAGGGUGCAAGCGUUAAUCGGAAUUACUGGGCGUAAAGCGUGCGCAGGCGGUUAUGUAAGACAGAUGUGAAAUCCCCGGGCUUAACCUGGGAACUGCAUUGGUGACCGGCAGGCUUUGAGUGUGGCAGAGGGAGGUAGAAUUCCACGUGUAGCAGUGAAAUGCGUAGAGAUGUGGAGGAAUACCGAUGGCGAAGGCAGCCUCCUGGGCCAACACUGACGCUCAUGCACGAAAGGCGUGGGGAGCAAACAGG